rnacentral:rRNA from 1 species
CAGCAGCCGCGGUAAUACGAAGGGUGCAAGCGUUACUCGGAAUUACUGGGCGUAAAGCGUGCGUAGGUGGUGGUUUAAGUCCGUUGUGAAAGCCCUGGGCUCAACCUGGGAAUUGCAGUGGAUACUGGGUCACUAGAGUGUGGUAGAGGAUAGUGGAAUUUCCGGUGUAGCAGUGAAAUGCGUAGAGAUCGGAAGGAACAUCUGUGGCGAAGGCGACUAUCUGGGCCAACACUGACACUGAGGCACGAAAGCGUGGGGAGCAAACAGGAUUAGAUACCCGCGUAGUCCCUGUCUCUUAUAA